rnacentral:rRNA from 1 species
GAUGAACGCUGGCGGCGUGCCUAAUACAUGCAAGUCGAGCGAACGGACGAGAAGCUUGCUUCUCUGAUGUUAGCGGCGGACGGGUGAGUAACACGUGGAUAACCUACCUAUAAGACUGGGAUAACUUCGGGAAACCGGAGCUAAUACCGGAUAAUAUUUUGAACCGCAUGGUUCAAAAGUGAAAGACGGUCUUGCUGUCACUUAUAGAUGGAUCCGCGCUGCAUUAGCUAGUUGGUAAGGUAACGGCUUACCAAGGCAACGAUGCAUAGCCGACCUGAGAGGGUGAUCGGCCACACUGGAACUGAGACACGGUCCAGACUCCUACGGGAGGCAGCAGUAGGGAAUCUUCCGCAAUGAGCGAAAGCCUGACUGAGCAACGCCGCGUGAGUGAUGAAGGUCUUCGGAUCGUAAAACUCUGUUAUUAGGGAAGAACAUAUGUGUAAGUAACUGUGCACAUCUUGACGGUACCUAAUCAGAAAGCCACGGCUAACUACGG